rnacentral:lncRNA from 1 species
GGGUCAUUCUUAAGUUUUCUUUGAUGGCUGUUCACCAGUAGCCUUGACUUCAUCAAGAAGUAUCAUAGGGAGGUCGGGCAAUCCGAUCGAGUGUCUGGUGUCAAGUGGUGGUAGCACCGGUGGCUGGAAAAUAGGAAGAUGGAACUUGAUUGAUUUUUGGCCAAGUGUGGGCCCGUGAAGAGCCUUACAGGGCUAUGGGG